rnacentral:rRNA from 1 species
UACGUAGGGAGCAAGCGUUGUCCGGAAUCAUUGGGCGUAAAGCGCGCGUAGGCGGCCCUGUAAGUCCGUUGUGAAAGUCGGGGGCUCAACCCUCGAAAGCCGGUGGAUACUGUCGGGCUAGAGUACGGAAGAGGCGAGUGGAAUUCCUGGUGUAGCGGUGAAAUGCGCAGAUAUCAGGAGGAACACCAAUUGCGAAGGCAGCUCGCUGGGACGUUACUGACGCUGAGACGCGAAAGCGUGGGGAGCAAACAGG